rnacentral:rRNA from 1 species
CCCUUAGAUGUUCUGGGCCGCACGCGUGCUACACUGAGUGGAUCAGCGGGUCAGGUUGCGCGAAAGCGUUUCCUAAUCUUUAAAUCCGCUCGUGAUGGGGAUUGACGGUUGCAAUUUUCUGUCAUGAACGAGGAAUACCUUGUAAGCGCGGGUCAUCAUCCCGCGCUGAAUACGUCCCUGCCCUUUGUACACACCGCCCGUCGCUCCUACCGAUUGAGUGGUCCGGUGAGGCUUUGGGAUCUGAGCGGAAAGAGCGUUUCGCUGUUUCUGCUCGGAAAACUCAGUCGAACCUUAUCAUUUAGAGAAAGGAGAAGUCGUAACA